ensembl:lncRNA
GACAAAUUGAAUUCCUUGAAUAGAGUUAAAUCCUUUAUUGACAUUUGUGACUUAAAAUUUCCUGCAAGGUAGGGAUUGGAUAUGCAUCUGUGACAGCAAUUUAGAUAUGAAUCUCUAGCCCAGUGCUUCUCAAUCUGUGGGUCACCAGAUGUUUUGGCCUUCAACGCCCAGAAAUCCUAACAUCUGGUAAACUGGCUGGGAUUUCUGGGAAUUGUAAGCCAAAGCACCUGGAGACCCACAGGUUGAGAACCAUUGCUCUAACCCAUGUUAUUAUAGACUAAAAGAGAAUACACAUGUGCAGCAGCUAGUAACUAUGUUAAGAAGCACUGACACCAAUGACUGUGUGAAAAAAAAUAAACAUGUGUUACAGGAACUCCAUAGAGUUAGAAAAGCUCUCUAAGAACUUCAUCACAUGGAAUUUUUACUUCAUUUUCUCUUUGUUUCAGCAUGCUGGGAAAAUGGAGUCCUACAGCGGCCAUCAAUUGACUCACGGCCACUUCAGGUGGCUGCUCAUGGGAAUCCGUCUUGCCCUCAUGCUAAAGCAGAGAGAAGGUUUCAUUUUCAUGAUCAUGAUUCAAGAAAGCAGGGGAAAGCAGGAAGAAAAUGGGGAAAGGACAUGGGAUGGCUGGCCAUCCCUGAAGACAGACCUUGCCAGAAGAAAACAGGGCCAGUUCCCGGACAUCGUCAAGAGACAAAGACCCUUCCUGGGGAAACAUCAGGUUGGCACUCAAGACUUCCCCAAAGGCAAUCACCUUUGUCUGGCAUGCAGUACCCUGGACUCUGUCUCAAUUAUCCAAUCAAGCCUUUCCUGGACACUCCUGGAUGGCCCUUUAUCUCCACCAUGGGUAAGUACUUGGUUUUGCCGAUCCCUUCUUUGUUCCUGACUCUUGAACAUCAUAUCAACAUAAUCUUAUUAUAAUCUUAUAAGCGUAUUAACAUAUUUAAACUCCUAUUAUGUAGGCUAAAACAUCAUCAUAAUCCAGAGGAGGGACUUGAACCCUCCCCUCAUUCUCCAGCUCAUUGGGUGCCUCCAGGAAUUCCGGUCCAGCUUGGAGCUAUGUCAGAGCCUCAAGGACCAAUCAGGAGAAAGGCCGGUCUAGUCCUGACCAAUCAGAAGUCAAGGGGGAAAUCAGCCAACACUGGCUGCUUCGGCCAAUGAGGGCAAGGGGCGGGUGAAUUUGAAUAGUUGUCAUUUUAGCCUAUGUUACUGUAUAAAGAUGCCUAGUUUUAACUGAAUUGUUAUACUUGCACAUUUGGAGCUUUAUUACCCUUGCUAGCAUCCCUAUUGCAGUCUGAAUAAACUUCUGUUACUUGCUUUCAACCUCCUGGUAAGACUUCAAUUCUUCAUCGAGGCUGGAAUAUGGAAGUAGUGUUUACUUGCCAGGUAGUUACACUCACAGCUCUUUUGCUGGCUAGCUCAAAUCACUAAAAUUCUGGUGACAUUUUUCCUUCCUUCCUUCCUUCCUUCCUUCCUUCCUUCCUUCCUUCCUCCCUCCCUCCCUCCCUCCCUCCCUCCCUCCUUUUGGAUUACUGAACAGAGAUCUACACUAUCAAUUGUCCAAUUCAAACUGUCAUCUGAGAUUUAGGAGUCUUCCUGAUUCCUUGUAGAGUUUUGCCUUCUUUCUGAAUAUGUGACUAUUCUGAACAGUACUUUCUAUUUAACAUGGCAUAAAUUUCAAAAUCCCCUCAAGAUAGAGACUGUCUCCAUACGAAAUUCUUAAAAAAAAUUGGGGGUGGGGGAGAGUUUUAGCCUUCAGGAAUAAUGGUGCUUCUUCUAUAUCCGUAAACAUCCAGAUUGUAUUUUUCUUUCAUUCAUUUUUCCCUUCUUAACUCAAACUGUCUUGGAAACAAAUGUCAGCAGUCUAGAGUCUAAAUGAAAACCUGUUCGCUAGCCCUUUGGCCUACAGGCAGGAUUAAAGUGUUAGCUCCAUGUCGAUCAAUCUGUCACUUAAACAUUUACCAAACUACUGACCAUUUCCCAUUCAAAGACCAUUAAACAGGGAUUAGGCUUUUUCCUGGGUUAAAAUGCUAGGAAUGUCACACCCAAGCUAGUUCAGUUUAUGUGGAGGAGGAUAAAAAGCUAAUAUGUUUAUUGACUCCUCUGCUCUAUUCUCUUGUUUGCAUUGUCAACUUUCAACUUCCCAAACUGAGAUCCAAUUACUUCUUGCUCCUUAAAGCUUCAGGCUAGGCUUGCACAAUUUGUGAUCUAGGAAGCUGAAGGCAGCCUACAAGUGAUUUAUUGUGGCUUGGUGGGGAACAGAAGACAGAAGGAGCAGAAAUACGAGUUCCUAAUGCACAUCAACAUGAUAUUCAUAAUAUACAUGAAUUUUGGCUUCAUAGCUGAUAGGGAAAAGAAAUAUAUGAUUUGCAUUUUAAUGAAAUCCUGCCUGAUUUCAUAGCACAGAGUUGGAAGAUAUCCAAGGUUUCAUCUAGGUCAACCCUCUGCCUAUGCAGAAAACCUAUAGUUUCUGCAUCCUUGAAAGAUGGCCAUCACCUUCUAAUACAGUGGUUCUCAACCUAAGAGCUGGUAAAGUGGCUGGGAUUUCUGGGAAUUGUAGGCCAAAAACAUCUGGGGACCCCAGGUUGAGAACCACUGUUCUAAUGCAAUCAAUUACACUGUUAAACAGCUCCUCCUGUAAAGAACUGCUUGAUGUCAGUGCUUUUACUCUUUUGAACUAAAGCACAAGCUGACAUUCAGUUAUCUUCUGAAAUUUGCACAUCUCAGUUAUCCAAUCUAAAAAUGCAUGGAAAAUACAUGUAACAGAGAAGAAUGAACACACAAUAAUGUGUAUAUUAGUGAAAGUGGGAUUCACAAUACAUAUGUUAGGGAAAACAAGUUACAAAAGGUGUACAUGUUGGGAAAAUGACAUACAAAAAUUCAUAUAUUGUUAAGAAAUACAUGAAUACUAUUUUUCAUCACUGUGUGCCUUCAAGUUGUUUCUGACUUAUGACCACUCUAAGGCAACACUAUCAUGGCAACACUUGACAAGUGACAGAGGAAGACUUGCUUUCUCUUUGUCUGGUAGCAUGACUACUGCUCAAAGUCACCCAGUAGUUUCCAUGCUGAGCAGGUAUUCAAACUCUGGUCUCCAGAGCCAUAGUCAAAUGUUCAAACCAUUAUGCUAUGCUGGCUAUCUUUUUUUCCAUGCAAACUGUAAAAAUCAUUUAAAGACCUGAAUGAAUUUAACUUCAGAUUGAAGAAAUUCUCCAAGGGUACAUAUACAAUGUAGAAUUAAUGCAGAAGAAAAUGAGGUCAGGCUAAGCCCUGCAGUUUCCCAAUGCAAAGCUUCUCUGGGAAUAUCUGCACUGUAGAAUUAAUGCAUUUUGACACCACUUUGACUGCCAUGAUUUAAUGCUAGGGAAUUAUGGGAGUGGUAGAUUUACAAAAUCUUUAGUGUCGUCUGCCAAAAAGUGCUCAUGCCUCACCAAACUACAAAUCCCAGGAUUCCAUAACAUGCAUCCAUGGAAGCUAAAGUGAUGUCAAGCUGCAUUAAUCCUACAGUGGAGAAGCACCUCCCAAGUUCAGGGCAAGCCAAAUAUAAUAGGAAAAACAAUCUAUAUAUAUAAAGGGUAAUGAAAUUUCGGCCUAGGACAAAACAACAAAACAACACAUCCCAGAAACACUAAACUUGGCAGCACAACCCCUCAUUCAUGCCUCUAUGUUCAUACAACAAAAAGAAAAGAAAAAUAAACUCCUAAUUACAGGGAGAGGAAUAAUUGUUUUUAUUCAAUUGCUGCCAGUUAGAAGACUAAGCUCCGCCCACUUGGUCUCCUAGCAACCCACUCAGCCCAGGGGACAGGCAGAGUUAGGCCUCACUUAGUCCUCUUCCACACUGCCUAUAAAAUACAGAUUAUCUGAUUUUAACUGGAUUAUAUGGCAGUGUAGACUCAAGGCUAUAUAACCCAUUUAUAAUGGACUUAAUGUAAGGUAAAACCUUUACCCUUUACCUUAACUACCACCAAUUCCUCUAUACUUUAUUUCCCAUACCACCAUACUUCGCCACAGCAACGUGUGGCCAGGCACAGCUAGUAAUCUUAUAAAUGGAGUCUUAAAUUGUACAACAGCAGCAACAUAGUAACGGGGGAAUUUGAAUGUUCCACAGCACAUGCCUUGUGGUUCUUUUCAUCAACCAUGUAUAGCUUCACCUAAUCUUUUAGGAUUUGCCAAUCCUGCCAAGGGGGCAACUGAUGCUGUGGAGGGAGGAGGGAGAGGCAGUUGAGAAACAUACAGCUUUGAGGAGAAACUAAAGAAUGAAUUACUCUUGAAAGCAGGCAUGCUAAUAAGUUUCUUCCUCCUCUAAUUUCUA